UAAAUAAACAUUUAUACCGUAGACAGUAGGUGCUAAUGUCUUUAGCUUAAUUUCCUGCCGAGGUAAAAACAUAGAAUGUAGUAAAUUACUAUUAAAUAGUGAUUUGUUUAAAAUGCUAUGUAAACCUCCUUGUCUACUAGAUAAGGAGGUUUUUUGGUA
rnacentral:sRNA from 1 species